GCCCUUAUAGCUCAAUGGUAGAGCUCCGGGCCUGUCAAGCCCAAAGGCCAUUGUCCGAUCCCCGGUCCGGGAA